UGACUUGGCGCAUGUUCAGGCAUGUAGUUGAAACAAAAUCAACAUAGCCUCUAUGAUGUUCAUGUUCAUGGUGGUUUAUUUCCUACUCAUGCUUGCACUCAAUGUUAGUUAAUCUCAAUGCAUUUUGAUGACUCUUGUCGCUCUCUAGUUGGUCGCUUCCCAGUCUUUUGCUAGCCUUCACUUGUACUCAGCGGGAAUACUGCUUGUGCAUCCACUUCCAUAAACCCAAAGUUGUUCCAUAUGAGUCCACCAUACCUACCUAUGUGCGGUAUCUACCUGCCGUUACAAGUAAAUUUGCAUGUGC
rnacentral:lncRNA from 1 species